rnacentral:rRNA from 1 species
UGAGGAAUAUUGGACAAUGGGCGCAAGCCUGAUCCAGCCAUGCCGCGUGCAGGAUGACGGUCCUAUGGAUUGUAAACUGCUUUUGUACAGGAAGAAACAGUUCUACGUGUAGAACCUUGACGGUACUGUAAGAAUAAGGAUCGGCUAACUCCGUGCCAGCAGCCGCGGUAAUACGGAGGAUCCAAGCGUUAUCCGGAAUCAUUGGGUUUAAAGGUCCGUAGGCGGUUAGAUAAGUCAGUGGUGAAAGCCCAUCGCUCAACGGUGGAACGGCCAUUGAUACUGUCUGACUUGAAUUAUUAGGAAGUAACUAGAAUAUGUAGUGUAGCGGUGAAAUGCUUAGAGAUUACAUGGAAUACCAAUUGCGAAGGCAGGUUACUACUAAUGGAUUGACGCUGAUGGACGAAAGCGUGGGUAGCGAACAGGAUUAGAUACCCACGUAGUCCCUGAGCGGGCUGGCAAGGCGCAU